rnacentral:rRNA from 1 species
UACGUAGGGUGCGAGCGUUAAUCGGAAUUACUGGGCGUAAAGCGUGCGCAGGCGGUUUUGUAAGCCAGAUGUGAAAUCCCCGGGCUUAACCUGGGAAUGGCAUUUGGGACUGCAAGGCUGGAGUACGGCAGAGGAGACUGGAAUUCCUGGUGUAGCAGUGAAAUGCGUAGAGAUGUGGAGGAACACCGAUGGCGAAGGCAGCCUCCUGGGCCAGCACUGACGCUCAUGCACGAAAGCGUGGGGAGCAAACAGG